rnacentral:misc_RNA from 1 species
GUGAAUCAUCGAAUCUUUGAACGCAUGUUGCACUCUCUGGUAUUCCGUAGAGUAUGCCUAUUUGAGGGUCAUUUGAAAUAAUAUAAAUUGCGAGAGGUUCUUUGAAUCAAAAAUGGGACGGUGCAGCAUUCGUGUGGUUGUCGCCUAGAAGGCAAGACAAGCUCAUUUCUUGGGUUGCUGGAUACUUUGAGUUACCUGGUGACUGCACAAGGAAUCUGUGAGCGGUCUAUGAAUUGUGCACGAGAUAGACUUUCAUUUAUCUCUAGCUCAAUAUUUAAUUGAAU